AUCUAAGGAAGGCAGCAGGCGCGCAAAUUACCCAAUCCUAAUACAGGGAGGUAGUGACAAGAAAUAACAAUACAGGACUUUUUGGUUUUGUAAUUGGAAUGAGUUAAGUAUAAACCCCUUUACAAGUAUCAAUUGGAGGGCAAGUCUGGUGCCAGCAGCCGCGGUAAUUCCAGCUCCAAUAGCGUAUAUUAAAGUUGUUGCAGUUAAAAAGCUCGUAGUUGGAUUUCUGUUAAUAAUUUAUAUAAUAUAUUUUGAUGAAUAUUUAUAUAAUAUUAACAUGAUUCAUAUUACUAUUUUUUUUUAGUAUAUGAAAUUUUACUUUGAGAAAAUUAGAGUGCUUAAAGCAGGCAUAUGCCUUGAAUACUCCAGC
rnacentral:rRNA from 1 species